AGAGCGAACGCUGGCGGCAGGCCUAACACAUGCAAGUCGAGCGGCCGUAGCAAUACGGCAGCGGCAGACGGGAGAGUAACACGUGGGAACGCGCCCUUCGGUUCGGAAUAACUCAGGGAAACUUGGGCUAAUACCGGAUACGCCCUUACGGGGAAAGAUUUAUUGCCGAAGGAACGGCCCGCGUCCGAUUAGCUUGUUGGUGAGGUAACGGCUCACCAAGGCGACGAUCGGUAGCUGGUCUGAGAGGAUGACCAGCCUCACUGGGACUGAGACACGGCCCAGACUCCUACGGGAGGCAGCAGUGGGGAAUAUUGGACAAUGGGCGCAAGCCUGAUCCAGCCAUGCCGCGUGGGUGAUGAAGGCCCUAGGGGUUGUAAAGCCCGUUUCGGCGGGGAAGAUAAUGACGGUACCCGCAGAAGAAGCCCGGCUAACUUCGUGCCAGCAGCCGC
rnacentral:rRNA from 1 species